GACGAACGCUGGCGGCGUGCCUAAUACAUGCAAGUCGAACGCAGUGGGGACGGGUGAGUAACACGUGGGUAACCUCCCAUCAGAGGGGAUAACACUUGGAAACAGGUGCUAAACCGAUACUGAUGGAUGGACCCGCGGUUCAUUGGCUAGUUGUUGAGGUAACGGCUCACCAAGGCCACGCAGCAUAGCCGACCUGUGAGGGCGAUCGGUCACACUGGGACGUAUACAUGGCCCAGACUCCUAUGGGAUGCAGCAGUAGGGAAUCUUCGGCAAUGGACGAAAGUCUGACCGAGCAACGCCGCGGGAGUGAAGAAGGUUUUCGGAUCGUAAAACUCUGUUGUUAUAGAAGCGGUAUCUAACCAGAAAGCCACGGCUAACUACGUGCCAGCAGCCGCGGUAAUAC
rnacentral:rRNA from 1 species